CUGAGGACGAACAUUGCCCACCCAUGUCCUCUUUGAAAACAUGUCCCACUGCAAAUCAAGAAGAAUUCCAAGAAUUCACACAUUCACUGUGCAGAUGUUGGGGUGUCCAAAAGAGGGAGACACAGGAGAAGGGCUUCAUCUAUCAAAAACUGAGAGUAUCGUUCCCAGUCAUGGUGUGUGUCUCUGGACAGAGGGCCUCCACCUCCCAGCUGUAGAGUAGAG